ACCCCGAACAUGGCGGGCAAGGGGAUGGCACAGCCCUGGGUAUCUGCGGCUCAUUCGGCCGCUCUCGGGCUCCCUCAUCGCCCCCCAGUGCGGGGAGCCUCGGGGAGAAGCCACACGCAGGGUUCUCGCUGGAUAUGGUGGUGCCAGGCGGCCGCUUGUGCCACUCAGCGCCCUCAGGAACAGCCCGGCGGUGGUGAGGGGAAUUACUUGGCAAAGCUGAUGGUGCACAGGGGACCAGACUCCAAGAUGAAAAGCAAGCCUUGCUGAAAUGUGAACGCACAGAUUGCACCCUGGAUGAAUGUGGGCAGGAGCUGGAUGAAUAAAGAGGGCUUCACUCACAGAAACAGUUCACCUAAAUCCACUUAAAAUACUUGCUGUAAUAGGAAAAAACCCACCUUUGUUCCUGCAGAGAAAGGCAAGACAUCGAAGAAAAACCAUUUGAAAAACUCCCCACCACAAAACUCACCCUGGUAUUGGACUUCUGAAACAGGUUCCAAAGAGCAACUCCAAGUGUGUAGGAUAAGAUCAGGACAUCAAUACACAAUGCUUGUUCUCCAUCUAAUUUAUCCUGUCAACAGCAGCUAAUUAAUAAUUAAAAAGGGCAUGGUGAUCCUUAUGUGGGAGGUCCUAUAAAAUGAAAAUUGAAGCAAUUUGAGAGGCAGUAGAUUCCUGUUUAUUCAGAAACAUGUUCAGGGAUGUACUCUGUGACUGUUUCAGUUACAGUGUCAGCAGCAAGAUUCUGAUGUGCAUUUAAGCAUUAUGGAAGCUGUGACUGGCCCAUCCCUGGAAGUGUCCAAGGCCAGGCUGGAGCAACCUGGAAUGGUGGAAAGUGUUCCUUCCCAUGGCAGGGGGUGGAAUGAGAUGAUCUUUGUGGUCCCUUCCAAACCAUUCUGUGAUUCCUGUUGGUGAUUUCUGACUCCUCACAUGGGGAGCCUCACUGGGUCCUUCUCACAUUAGUUUUCUUUUUAAUCCAACUGUGCUGUCUUGAACUUCAUCUUUCCAGGGCUAACACAAGGUUUGCCCUAUGACAGAUCACUUUACAAGUCCAAGUGGACAGGCAUUUGG